rnacentral:misc_RNA from 1 species
AAGGUAUUCAAGUCUGCAACAGUCUUCUAAUCAUGUGAUUCGUAAGCUACAGUAAAGCAUUUCCAUGUCAAAUUUUAAAUGUAACUUCAUCUCCUGAACGUCAAUCACCAGAAAUUGCAUCUGUAUUAAGGUGACAUCGAGCAUCUACUGUCAGCACUAUCCAAGGAGAACUUGAAAAAUUACAACCUCCAUUAAACUCUAACUUCCAGCUAAAUCAACUUGCUCAACACCAGCCACUUCAGUUUUGCUUGGAUCCUCAACAUUAGGAUAUUGGGAAUUUAAACCUUUUCUACCCUGAUCAUCUCCUGGUAUAUCAUUGGUAACCCUUGAGAGACUAGAUUCAUGUCCUCCUACAGGUUCUAGUAUUGACUGUUCUCCAUGUUUAAGUUCAUUUUCCUCUGUACUUGGAGAUAAAUUACUUUCUCCAUUUUCUCCUGAACUUGACCGGGACCGCUGUCUCCCAUGAUGCUUUGAAUUUUCAG